rnacentral:rRNA from 1 species
GUGCCAGCAGCCGCGGUAAUACGGGGGGGGCAAGCGUUGUUCGGAAUUACUGGGCGUAAAGGGCUUGUAGGUGGCCAACUAAGUCAGACGUGAAAUCCCUCGGCUUAACCGGGGAACUGCGUCUGAUACUGGAUGGCUUGAGUGUGGGAGAGGGAUGCGGAAUUCCAGGUGUAGCGGUGAAAUGCGUAGAUAUCUGGAGGAACACCGGUGGCGAAGGCGGCAUCCUGGACCAUUACUGACACUGAAAAGCGAAAGCCAGGGGAGCAAACGGGAUUAGAUACCCUGGUAGUCC